AUUGAACGCUGGCGGCAUGCCUAACACAUGCAAGUCGAGCGGAUGAAGGGAGCUUUCUCCUGGAUUCAGUUGCCGGCGGGCGGGUAAUUCCUAGGAAUCUGCCUGGUCGUGGGGGCUAACAUAAGUUAACGAGCGCUAAUCUAGCAUCCGUCCUUAGUGUGAACGUCGUGGAUCUUCGGAGCUCACCCUACUAGCUGUGCCUAAGUCGGAUUAGCUAGUUGGUGGGGUAAAGGCCUACCAAGGCGACGAUCCGUAACUGAUCUGAGAGGGUGAUCAGUCACACUGGAACUGAGACACGGUCCAGACUCCUACGGGAGGCAGCAGUGGGGAAUAUUGGACAAUGGGCGAAAGCCUGAUCCAGCCAUGCCGCGUGUGUGAAGAAGGUCUUCGGAUUGUAAAGCACUUUUAGUUGGGAGGAAGAGCAGUAAGUGAAUACCUUGCUGUUUUGACGGUACCAACAGAAUAAGCACCGGCUAACUACGUG
rnacentral:rRNA from 1 species